UGGCAAUGCUGUCCGAUUAUUCUGCAAAUUGUUUUCGAAUUCGUUUCUACGUUUCCAUUUUCCAGAUAUGUUAAAUAUUUCGUUUGCAAUAGAAAUCGUGAAAUGAAAAUAAUUAAACAAUAUGUAAAAGUGAGUAAAGCAAGUUCUGUCCUUGGUAGACUUUGGAAAACAUCAAGUGAAACAAUGGAAAGAUUUUACAGGCAGUCUCAUUUCAAAAGGAUCGGUUUGUAGCAACUGCCAAUUGAUCCAACAACACUCAGAGAAACUCAACUCCUCCAAAGUUGUGCAAAUCUAUAACCUGUUGCAGUGCUAGGCCACGUAAACUCUUUCCGGAGCAUACCGAAAAAGAGAAGGACAAAGAGAGCUCUGGGAGGGAGAGUCCAGGCAGUAGUGUGAAUAAUACAAACAUGUCCGAGGAUGUGUGGCUGGAGUGUGAUGACGAAGUCAUUCGUGUACUGCGUAUGCGGGAACUCGAGGAUCUACUAAGUCGUAAAUCACGAACUUCUGCCCUUACGGCUUACACCA